ACUCGCUCAGAGACGCCCACAUGGAUGGGCUCCCGCGGAAAGCAGGACACAUCCAGGGCACUGCUGGGCAGGCCAAGGGUGGCCGAGGUGGCUGCGAACAGAUACACGGACACAACACAGGUCUAUCAAGGAAGAGUGAUGAGAGGACUACCCUUCUGUUCCGGUUGGCUGCCUUUUCUUCAACACACACUGGAGGAUCAACUAGGUGACAGCACCAUUCUGUGCUCUGGGAAUAAACACAGUUUCAAAUAAGACAAAAUGUCCUCGUGAAGCUUAUAUCCUAGAAAUAAGGAAUAAGGUUACAGCCGGAGAUAUACAUUUGACAACCAUCAUGUGUCGAUGGCAUUGAAAAACCUUAGGAUCAAGAGAAUCUAGAAAAAGGUGGGGACCUUGGAGCUCAUCAAGAUUUAUAGGUUGUGAAGUGGAAGAGCUAGCAAAAGAGACUUAGAAGGAGCCUGCAAUGAGGUAAGAGGGCACACAGGGAAGUCUGGGCUUCUGGAGGACUUGUGAGGUAAAUGUUCACAAAGUGGGAGUGUUCAACGUGUUAAAUGCCACUGACAGAUCAAGUUGGAAGAGGGCUGAGAGCUGACCACGUGAGCAACAAGGUAAUCAGAAACCCUGAUGAGAGCCAUUUCAGAAGAGCUGUGGACACAAAAACCUGAUCCGAGUGGGCUCUAAAGAGAAAUCAUCCAUCAGUUCAACAUUUACUGAGCACCUACUAUGUGCCAAGCACUGUUCCAGGCAAUGCAGAUUUGUCAGUGAACAAAACAAACACCCCUGCCACAGAGUCUACAUUCUAGUGGGGCAGCUGACAAAAAGGAUUGGUACUGUAGGUGAAUGGGAGAAAAACAAACUGGAAACAAUGCGUUUAACAACCCUUUCAAGGAGCUGGAAUGUGAAGGAGAGCAUGGAAAUGGAGCCAGGGGAGCUGCCUCGCCCAAGUGCCCUCUCCUGGAAGCAAGCUACCCGUUGACAAGUUGAUACCGGGUAUAAAGGCCCCGCCCCCUUGCCUCAAUUUGGGACACCUCUGCAAAGCCAUCUCAGUUCCAGAGCUUCGUUUGGGACAAGUUGAGGCCUCUGUGGAGACUACAACGGCAGUUUCAACUUCUUCCUCUGCCCAACCACCCUACUGUCCUCACUCCUCUACGGGUAAUAUUCCCAAGGGCACCCCAAUAAACCUACACUCAAACCUCCCUUUCAGAGUCUGUUUCCAGGGAACCCGACGGAAAACAUUGGAUCCCCAGCCCAGAGCGAUGUCUGGCACAUAGCAGAUGCUCAAUAAAUAUUUA